UAUGAACGCUGGCGGCGUGCCUAAUACAUGCAAGUCGAGCGAACGGACGAGAAGCUUGCUUCUCUGAUGUUAGCGGCGGACGGGUGAGUAACACGUGGAUAACCUACCUAUAAGACUGGGAUAACUUCGGGAAACCGGAGCUAAUACCGGAUAAUAUUUUGAACCGCAUGGUUCAAAAGUAAAAGACGGUCUUGCUGUCACUUAUAGAUGGAUCCGCGCUGCAUUAGCUAGUUGGUAAGGUAACGGCUUACCAAGGCAACGAUGCAUAGCCGACCUGAGAGGGUGAUCGGCCACACUGGAACUGAGACACGGUCCAGACUCCUACGGGAGGCAGCAGUAGGGAAUCUUCCGCAAUGGGCGAAAGCCUGACGGAGCAACGCCGCGUGAGUGAUGAAGGUCUUCGGAUCGUAAAACUCUGUUAUUAGGGAAGAACAUAUGUGUAAGUAACUGUGCACAUCUUGACGGUACCUAAUCAGAAAGCCACGGCGAACUACGU
rnacentral:rRNA from 1 species